rnacentral:rRNA from 1 species
UACGUAGGGGGCGAGCGUUGUCCGGAUUUAUUGGGCGUAAAGAGCGUGUAGGCGGCUUGGUAGGUCUGCUGUGAAAACUCGGGGCUCAACCCCGAGACGUCGGUGGAAACCACCUGGCUAGAGUCCGGAAGAGGAGAGUGGAAUUCCUGGUGUAGCGGUGAAAUGCGUAGAUAUCGGGAGGAACACCAGUGGCGAAGGCGACUACCUGGCCUGUUCUUGACGCUGAGGCGCGAAAGCUAGGGGAGCAAACGGG